GACGAACGCUGGCGGCGUGCUUAACACAUGCAAGUCGAACGGAAAGGCCCUGCUUUUGUGGGGUGCUCGAGUGGCGAACGGGUGAGUAACACGUGAGUAACCUGCCCUUGACUUUGGGAUAACUUCAGGAAACUGGGGCUAAUACCGGAUAGGAGCUCCUGCUGCAUGGUGGGGGUUGGAAAGUUUCGGCGGUUGGGGAUGGACUCGCGGCUUAUCAGCUUGUUGGUGGGGUAGUGGCUUACCAAGGCUUUGACGGGUAGCCGGCCUGAGAGGGUGACCGGCCACACUGGGACUGAGAUACGGCCCAGACUCCUACGUGAGGCAGCAGUGGGGAAUAUUGCACAAUGGGCGGAAGCCUGAUGCAGCAACGCCGCGUGCGGGAUGACGGCCUUCGGGUUGUAAACCGCUUUCGCCUGUGACGAAGCGUGAGUGACGGUAAUGGGUAAAGAAGCACCGGCUAACUACGUG
rnacentral:rRNA from 1 species